rnacentral:rRNA from 2 species
GGAUGCGAUCAUACCAGCACUAAAGCACCGGAUCCUAUGAGAACUCCGAAGUUAAGCGUGCUUGGGCGAGAGUAGUACUAGGAUGGGUGACCUCCUGGGAUGUCCUCGUGUUGCAUUCC